rnacentral:sRNA from 1 species
UUUAUUUCUAGAAAUUCCUUUCUAGAAAUCACAUCAUAUUCCUAGUAAAAUAAAUAGUUAACUUCACUGGCAAAUGCUUCAUUGUGAGAUAUUGUGUAGAUGUUCUUGUGGAAUGAGGUUGGCGUUCUUGAUUUUUAAACCUCAGCACCACGGUCAAUGGAUCUGUCAUUUGGUCUGCAGAAGAGUUGGAGGAGAAUGGGGCAAGAAAAGAAGAACAACAACCACAACAACAACAAAACAACAACAAAUGAUGUGAAUUUGACUUUACUUCCUGGAAGGCAAACAAAGGAAGUCGCUUCAGCAUGGAUUCCAGUACAGAGAGAGAUAAGGUUGUAAUAUCUCAUCUACUAUUCCAGCAUCAAGCCUGCCUGCAUCCUGCCACCAUGCUCUUUGUCUUGACAGUAAUGAAGUCACUGUCAGAAACUCUUCCUGACUAUGGAUACAACGUGACCAGCAACCGUACUCCUUGCAUCAGAUCUUACCUACCAUGACGGACUUCUCUCAAAAUCAACUUUAUUGGUGUCUAAUUUAUAUACCAUAAUGUUCAUCCAUUUGAAGUCAAUAUCUGAAGACUUUUUUGUCACAUACCCUACUGACUGUGCAGCUCUCAUAGUUUUGGCAAACGACAUUUCUCCUGGAAGUUUUGUACAGGCCAACCAAAGAGCUUUAACUUAAAGAUGAAUAAUGAAUGACGAGAGACAAGAAGGGAAGAAGAAAACGUGACAUAAUCACCCUGCUGCUGCUAACAACAAUGCUAACUUGAAAUAUGUGAUGCCAAUCACCAACCAAGGAGAAGAGAACUUCUAAGUCAGAAUUGUUAUACGUCUCAUCUAGGAACAAGGACGUUAAUUAUCUCUAAGCUUCAUUCUUUACACCUUUUAAUAUAGCCCUGUCUGAGCCCAUUUUCUGCGACUAUCCCAGACCACCACACACUGGGUAAUUUGUAAAGAAAAGACAUUUAUUCAUUGAAGUUGGAGAGUGUGGGAAGUUUAUGAUCAAAGAGCUGCGUCUGUCAAGUGCCUUCUUAUUGGAUCUUACCAAGGCAGAAUGCAUGGUGUGGAGAAAGACAAAGUGGGGGCCAGGGGAUGCUGAUUCAAAACAGGCUCCCUUUUUACAGCACAGCUACUCAUGCAUAAUUUAUCCACUGCAGAGCAGGAUUGAGAUGGACAUUUGUGCCUUCUUAAGUAUAUAGCUACCCUUGUGGUAUAAUCCUUCUUUCAAGUUCCCUGUUCUGAAUACCAUCACAUCAAUGACUAAAGUCAACAUGACUUUGUAAUGGACAUUUAAAUCUAGAUAAUCCUUGUUUCUAGUCUUAGAGUGGUCUGGGUCAGGUGUUUUCAGGUUCUUGGCCUUAUAUCCAAAGCACUGGAAACAAGGGCUCACGCAGAUUUGUAAAAGAAGCAAGAUAACUUCAUUUUGAACAAAGUGAUAGUGCAGAUUAUAGAGGAAGAUAUUGUCAGUACUGACCGCAGGCCAAAGAAGUAAGUGUCCCCAUGGGCUUCAGGCUAUAGUCUGAGUUUUCUUAUUAUGGGUACAAAGGAAGGAUGGAUUAACUACUAAGGGGCAGAGUUUGGGAGGCUCUGUGUUUUGACUGAUUGGGUUACACAAUUAUUCCUGUUCCAUAUGUCCUUUCCCAUAAUUCACUGAUUCCAAUAAUGCAUGCUUCCCAUUAUGUAUAGACAUAAGAUUGUAAAAGGGGAUCCUCCUUCUAAGCUAACUAAUGAACACAGUUUUGUAUUAUUACACAUUCAUACACAACCAGCUCAGGCUUGAAUACCCUUCUAUUCUUCAUACCUAGUGUGGUGGUUUCUACCUUCCGCAGCCUUCCACAAAUGUUACAGAAGAUAUAUUGAAACACAAACACACCACACACACACACACACACACACACACACACACACACACACACACACACGGUAAAGCAGAAAGGUGGAUAAUCUCAGGGUUAGGCAUCCCAAAAUUGACCAAUGGUACAGCCCCACAGAAGCACUGCAAAGGUUUUGAAAAGAACCAAUCCCAUAGGGUCAUGUUUAUGAACACUUGGUACCUAUUUCGUUCUGUUUGUUAACGUAAUAGACCUUUUAGGAGGUGAUUUGCUUUAAAUUUUCAUGUACAGAUCUGUUGGUUUUCUAUGUUUCAUGACUUCCCACAAAACAGACUUUAUAUAUCC